GCGGUUGUGGCGGAAUUGGCAGACGCGCNNCGCGCAGGAUUAAGGAUCCUGUGGUAGAGAUACCGUGCGGGUUCGACCCCCGCCAAUCGCA
rnacentral:tRNA from 1 species